AAAGAUAGCCCCUUCGUACGAAAGGAGUUGGGUAUAUUGAUCCCUGGUUUACCUGUUGUUUAUAGUAUAUAUAUAUAAAUAUUUAUAUAUAUAUCGAAUGCUUGUACUAAAGUAUUUUUUUGAUCCUAUAGGCAUGGCAGGAAAGCUACAUCAGUUAAAGAUAAGUGUUGAAAGCAUCUAAACGCGAAGCAAACUUUA
rfam:Pestalotiopsis fici W106-1 unplaced genomic scaffold PFICI_Scf_28, whole genome shotgun sequence.